AGCGAACGCUGGCGGCAUGCUUAACACAUGCAAGUCGCACGGGCAGGGGUAACUCUGUCAGUGGCGGACGGGUGAGUAACGCGUAGGUAUCUAUCCUCGGGUGGGGGACAACCACGGGAA
rnacentral:rRNA from 1 species